GACGAACGCUGGCGGCGUGCCUAACACAUGCAAGUCGAACGGAACUGUUUUGAAAGAUUUCUUCGGAAUGAAUUUGAUUUAGUUUAGUGGCGGACGGGUGAGUAACGCGUGAGUAACCUGCCUUCAAGAGGGGAAUAACAUUCUGAAAAGAAUGCUAAUACCGCAUGACAUAUCGGAACCACAUGGUUUUGAUAUCAAAGAUUUUAUCGCUUGAAGAUGGACUCGCGUCCGAUUAGUUAGUUGGUGAGGUAACGGCUCACCAAGACCGCGAUCGGUAGCCGGACUGAGGGGUUGAGCGGCCACCUUGGGACGGAGGCACGGCCCAGGCUCCUACGGGAGGCAGCAGUGGGGGAUAUUGCGCAAUGGGGGCAACCCUGACGCAGCAACGCCGCGUGAAGGAUGAAGGUUUUCGGAUUGUAAACUUCUUUUAUUAAGGACGAAAAAUGACGGUACUUAAUGAAUAAGCUCCGGCUAACUACGUG
rnacentral:rRNA from 1 species